rnacentral:rRNA from 2 species
UAGAGUUUGAUCCUGGCUCAGAUUGAACGCUGGCGGCAGGCCUAACACAUGCAAGUCGAGCGGUAGCACAGAGAGCUUGCUCUCGGGUGACGAGCGGCGGACGGGUGAGUAAUGUCUGGGAAACUGCCUGAUGGAGGGGGAUAACUACUGGAAACGGUAGCUAAUACCGCAUAACGUCGCAAGACCAAAGAGGGGGACCUUCGGGCCUCUUGCCAUCAGAUGUGCCCAGAUGGGAUUAGCUAGUAGGUGGGGUAACGGCUCACCUAGGCGACGAUCCCUAGCUGGUCUGAGAGGAUGACCAGCCACACUGGAACUGAGACACGGUCCAGACUCCUACGGGAGGCAGCAGUGGGGAAUAUUGCACAAUGGGCGCAAGCCUGAUGCAGCCAUGCCGCGUGUAUGAAGAAGGCCUUCGGGUUGUAAAGUACUUUCAGCGGGGAGGAAGGUGUUGAGGUUAAUAACCUCAGCAAUUGACGUUACCCGCAGAAGAAGCACCGGCUAACUCCGUGCCAGCAGCCGCGGUAAUACGGAGGGUGCAAGCGUUAAUCGGAAUUACUGGGCGUAAAGCGCACGCAGGCGGUCUGUCAAGUCGGAUGUGAAAUCCCCGGGCUCAACCUGGGAACUGCAUUCGAAACUGGCAGGCUAGAGUCUUGUAGAGGGGGGUAGAAUUCCAGGUGUAGCGGUGAAAUGCGUAGAGAUCUGGAGGAAUACCGGUGGCGAAGGCGGCCCCCUGGACAAAGACUGACGCUCAGGUGCGAAAGCGUGGGGAGCAAACAGGAUUAGAUACCCUGGUAGUCCACGCCGUAAACGAUGUCGACUUGGAGGUUGUGCCCUUGAGGCGUGGCUUCCGGAGCUAACGCGUUAAGUCGACCGCCUGGGGAGUACGGCCGCAAGGUUAAAACUCAAAUGAAUUGACGGGGGCCCGCACAAGCGGUGGAGCAUGUGGUUUAAUUCGAUGCAACGCGAAGAACCUUACCUACUCUUGACAUCCAGAGAACUUAGCAGAGAUGCUUUGGUGCCUUCGGGAACUCUGAGACAGGUGCUGCAUGGCUGUCGUCAGCUCGUGUUGUGAAAUGUUGGGUUAAGUCCCGCAACGAGCGCAACCCUUAUCCUUUGUUGCCAGCGGUCCGGCCGGGAACUCAAAGGAGACUGCCAGUGAUAAACUGGAGGAAGGUGGGGAUGACGUCAAGUCAUCAUGGCCCUUACGAGUAGGGCUACACACGUGCUACAAUGGCGCAUACAAAGAGAAGCGACCUCGCGAGAGCAAGCGGACCUCAUAAAGUGCGUCGUAGUCCGGAUUGGAGUCUGCAACUCGACUCCAUGAAGUCGGAAUCGCUAGUAAUCGUAGAUCAGAAUGCUACGGUGAAUACGUUCCCGGGCCUUGUACACACCGCCCGUCACACCAUGGGAGUGGGUUGCAAAAGAAGUAGGUAGCUUAACCUUCGGGAGGGCGCUUACCACUUUGUGAUUCAUGACUGGGGUGAAGUCGUAACAAGGUAGCCGUA